GGGGAAUAUUGGGCAAUGGGCGCAAGCCUGACCCAGCAACGCCGCGUGAGGGAAGAAGGUUUUCGGAUUGUAAACCUCUGUCGCAGGGGACGAAGAAAGUGACGGUACCCUGUGAGGAAGCCCCGGCUAACUACGUGCCAGCAGCCGCGGUAAGACGUAGGGGGCAAGCGUUGUCCGGAAUUACUGGGCGUAAAGGGUGCGUAGGCGGCAAUUCAAGUCUGAUGUGAAAUUCCCGUGCUUAACAUGGGGCUUGCAUCGGAAACUGAAUAGCUAGAGUGCAGGAGAGGUAAGCGGAAGUCCUAGUGUAGCGGUGAAAUGCAUAGAUAUUAGGAGGAACACCAGUGGCGAAGGCGGCUUACUGGACUGUAACUGACGCUGAAGCACGAAAGCGUGGGGAGCAAACA
rnacentral:rRNA from 1 species